GCCCCGGUAGCUCAAUGGAUAGAGCAGCUGACUUCUAAUCUGCAGGUUGUGGGUUCGACCCCCGCCCGGGGCG
rnacentral:tRNA from 1 species